rnacentral:misc_RNA from 1 species
UUAAGUUCAGCGGGUAGUCUCACCCGAUUUGAGGUCAAGGGUUCGUGGGGUCGAGGGAGCUUCCCGAGAAAAGGGAGACAUGCUCGAACGUUGUCUCGACGCAAGGUCUCAAGACGGUUAGAAGCGGGUCCCAAAAGUGACAGAGCCAGAAACCAAGACAUGGAAACAUCUUAUCACACGUCGAGGAUCGGCAAAGAGGA